CAUGGAGCAAAGCUUCGUGCCUCAUAUUGAAGAGCUCGUAGAAGAGAGCGAGGUAGACAAAUUGGAGGAACGUGCCGCCUUGAAGCGUGCAGAGCAAGUGAAGAA
rnacentral:ribozyme from 1 species